UACGUAGGGGACGAGCGUUGUCCGGAAUUACUGGGCGUAAAGGGCGCGCCGGCGGUAUAUCAAGUCAGCUGUCAAAGACUGGGGCUCAACCCUGGUAUGCGGUUGAAACUGAUAUGCUGGAGUGCUGUAGAGGCAAGUGGAAUUCCCAGUGUAGCGGUGAAAUGCGUAGAUAUUGGGAAGAACACCGGUGGCGAAGGCGACUUGCUGGGCAGCAACUGACGCUGAGGCGCGAAAGUGUGGGGAGCAAACAGGAUUAGA
rnacentral:rRNA from 1 species